rnacentral:misc_RNA from 1 species
AAAAUGAGGAGCUGCUGCAGUUUGUUUUGGCUAUCCAUGGUGAUUUUGCUCUCUGCUUCUUCGGUAACAGACGGGACGAUGAUCGUCGAAAGGCGGUGGAACGGCACCGGAGAAAUGGAUGGUAUUGAUUGGGAGGUUAGCCUUGCAGGUGAUGUAAAUUACUUGUCUUACAAAGUUACUAAUGAUAAGCCACCGAUCUGCAACGAGAAAGUGUACGGGAAUUGCAUAGGGGACAAGAAGCCUGGCCAACGCCCAUGUACUGAAUACAAUAACUGCAAGCGUUCUCCAGAUUAAGUGAU